UACGAAGGGGGCUAGCGUUGUUCGGAAUUACUGGGCGUAAAGCGCGCGCAGGCGGCUAUCCAAGUCAGUGGUGAAAGCCCGGAGCUCAACUCCGGAACUGCCAUUGAAACUGUUUAGCUUGAGGACGAGAGAGGUGAGUGGAAUUCCCAGUGUAGAGGUGAAAUUCGUAGAUAUUGGGAAGAACACCGGUGGCGAAGGCGGCUCACUGGCUCGUAUCUGACGCUCAGGCGCGGCAGCGUGGGGAUCAAACAGG
rnacentral:rRNA from 1 species